GUGAGGAAUUUUCCGCAAUGGGCGAAAGCCUGACGGAGCAAUGCCGCGUGAAGGAUGAAGGCCUAUGGGUUGUAAACUUCUUUUCUCAGAAAAGAAUUAUGACGGUAUCUGAGGAAUAAGCAUCGGCUAACUCUGUGCCAGCAGCCGCGGUAAGACAGAGGAUGCAAGCGUUAUCCGGAAUGAUUGGGCGUAAAGCGUCUGUAGGUUGUUUAAAAAGUAUUCUGUCAAAGAUUAGGGCUUAACCCUAGAUAGGCAGAAUAAACUUUUAAGCUAGAGUUUGGUAGAGGCGGAAGGAAUUCCCGGUGGAGCGGUGAAAUGCGUAGAUAUCGGGAGGAACACCAAAGGCGAAGGCACUCUGCUGGGCCAAUACGAACACUGAGAGACGAAAGCGAGGGGAGCAAAUGGGAUUAGAAGCCCGUGUAGUCC
rnacentral:rRNA from 1 species